UACGUAGGGUGCGAGCGUUAAUCGGAAUUACUGGGCGUAAAGCGUGCGCAGGCGGUUCGUUGUGUCUGAUGUGAAAGCCCCGGGCUUAACCUGGGAAUGGCAUUGGAAACUGGCGAGCUGGGGUGUGGCAGAGGGGGGUGGAAUUCCGCGUGUAGCAGUGAAAUGCGUAGAGAUGCGGAGGAACACCGAUGGCGAAGGCAGCCCCCUGGGCCAACACUGACGCUCAGGCACGAAAGCGUGGGGAGCAAACAGG
rnacentral:rRNA from 1 species